rnacentral:rRNA from 1 species
GGGCCCGCACAAGCGGUGGAGCAUGUGGUUUAAUUCGAUGCAACGCGAAGAACCUUACCUGGUCUUGACAUACACAGAAUCUUGUAGAGAUACGAGAGUGCCUUCGGGAAUUGUGAUACAGGUGCUGCAUGGCUGUCGUCAGCUCGUGUCGUGAGAUGUUGGGUUAAGUCCCGCAACGAGCGCAACCCUCGCCCUUAGUUGCCAGCAUUCAGUUGGGCACUCUAGGGGGACUGCCGGUGAUAAGCCGAGAGGAAGGUGGGGAUGACGUCAAGUCCUCAUGGCCCUUACGGGCUGGGCUACACACGUGCUACAAUGGCGGUGACAGUGGGCAGCCAACUCGCGAGAGUGAGCUAAUCCCAAAAACCGUCUCAGUUCGGAUUGCACUCUGCAACUCGGGUGCAUGAAGUUGGAAUCGCUAGUAAUCG